rnacentral:rRNA from 1 species
GUGCCAGCAGCCGCGGUAAUACGAACCGUCCAAACGUUAUUCGGAAUCACUGGGCUUAAAGAGUCCGUAGGCGGCCAAUUAGGUGAGGUGUGAAAUCCCCCGGCUUAACCGAGGAAUUGCGCUUCAAACCGACUGGCUAGAGGAAGAUAGAGGAAAGCGGAACUGAUGGUGGAGCGGUGAAAUGCGUUGAUAUCAUCAGGAACACCGGUGGCGAAAGCGGCUUUCUGGGUCUUUUCUGACGCUGAGGGACGAAAGCUAGGGGAGCGAACGGGAUUAGAAACCCUUGUAGUCC